AGGACCUACCAGUCUGCCCUGCUCAUACUUGAUCUGGAUGAGACUGAUACCCUGCGAGACGCAACAGAAUCAGCUCCUGGGAUUGUGUUAGCAGAAUGACGGGAGUGUGAGAUCCACCACAUGGCGAGGCACCCCAGGAACCUGUUUUCUUCUUGAAGAGCAACCGAGAACUAUUUCCAAGUUAUCCUUCACUUUGAGGUCCCAGGCAAUGGUCAGGUGGAGUAAAACAUAAGGAAGAACAUCUUUUUGGUUCAAAGGAUGAAAAAAAUUGGGUAACACACCUUCCUUACAUCUAGCUGGGCCAUUGAACCAGAAUAUGCCAGUGUUUAAAACACUGAAAUGCCAGCUUUUCUCUUAAAGGACAGCAUGGAGGUGUCUGAUUUCUGCUUGGGCUGAGGAUUCAGGAGAAGACGUGUGGAACACAGCCUGGACAUGCCCCAACCUGGUUGAUGAAUUCCACCCCAAGUAGUGGAAGAAACACACCUACAACAUGAGCAGAGAAGAUUUUUCUUCUGUACUUUCCAGGACUUGAAGCUGCUUUGUUUUUUGGUCGCUGGGUGGGGAAGGAGGAACAAUAGUAUAGCUUCCAGAAGAGAGAAGAGAGAUAUCUCUUGAGUGUGAAUUAAGCAGUACCAAGAGGCCUCAAGCUAGCUCUCUCUCCUGCUUGAAAUUCUACUGUUAAGAGUUUUUCUUUAAGUUUAAAACCCUGAAAGCUCCAUGAUGCUCCUGAGUAGAACAAUAAAGCCAUUAGUAGUCA
rnacentral:lncRNA from 1 species